GAAACCGGAGGCGCUCGACGGUUACCAAGGGCUGGGCGCCUUUAGCCGGGGAGUCUGAGACGCUCAUGCUCAUUUGGAAAGAGCGAAGAGGGAAGGACGGCCCUUUGAAGAGGCAGUUGUCCUGCCAGGUUAUCUAGUCGUGCCGGCAGGCUGAGAGCCUGCUCUGGGAAUCUGGGUCACGCCCGCUUGUUCUUUGAGCCUUUCAGCCAAAUGAAGUGGCCCUGCGGCUCUUUGACUAAAAUUUCUUUACUUUUCUGCCCCUUCUUAGAAAAUUGAGUUGAAACAGAUGAAGUGGACAUAGCAUGUGAAAACAAUUCUUCGAAGAAGUUUGGCUGUAAGGUAAAGGAGAAAGUUUGCUUCAAAUGCCAAAUGACCAUAAAAUGGUCAACAAUGAGUUCUUCAGCAACUUCUCAUGUAAUUAUAAGAGGAUCAGCUCCGAUGAUUGUUCUCAAUUGGUCUUUGUCAACUUCUGAUGACCGGCCACUGAACUCAUCUUCAAGGCUCUUGUCUCCUUUGCCAAACUUCUUGAACUACCCCUGCAUUGUGCUGAAGCCCAUAUAAGCCUGGAAGAGACAAACCACCUUUGUUACCACUUGGAGGCUUGCCUAAAACUGAAACUAAAAAAGCCAACCAACCCGGGAGACAGAAAACAAAUCCUGGUGAAGUUAUUUGAGCCCAGGGAUCCAGACAUGCCUAAAGACUAGCUUUACCACUGAACUCACUAGUUAAAUGAGCCAAUAAAUGCUCUUUUAUGCUUAAACUUGA